GGCCCCCUAUAAGGCCUUAACUGCCCCCAAUAGGGUCAUAAUUGCCCCCCCUGGCCUUACUGCCCCCCUAUAGAACCUUACCUGCCCUAACAACGGUCCAAUUGCCCCAUAGGGCCUUAACUGCCCGCCAUAGACCUUAAACAUGCCCUAUAGCCCUUAACUGCCCCUAUAGGACCUUAACUGCCCCAAUAGGGUCCAAUUGCCCCCUAUAGGGCCUUAACUGCCCCCAUAGACCUUAACCGCCCCCUAUAGGGCCUUAAUUGCCCCCUAUAGGACCUUAACUGCCCCAAUAGGGUCCAAUUGCCCCCUAUAGGGCCUUAACUGCCCCCUAUAGGGCCUCAAUUGCCCCCUAUAGGGCCUUAACUGCCCCCAACAGGCCCUUAAAUGCCCCAAUAGGGCCUUAAUUGCCCCAAUAGACCUUAACUGCCCCCAGUAGUGUCAUAACUGCCCCAUCCCCCUUC
rnacentral:lncRNA from 1 species